rnacentral:rRNA from 1 species
GAUGAACGCUGGCGGCGUGCCUAAUACAUGCAAGUCGAGCGAACGGACGAGAAGCUUGCUUUUCUGAUGUUAGCGGCGGACGGGUGAGUAACACGUGGAUAACCUACCUAUAAGACUGGGAUAACUUCGGGAAACCGGAGCUAAUACCGGAUAAUAUUUUGAACCGCAUGGUUCAAAAGUGAAAGACGGUCUUGCUGUCACUUAUAGAUGGAUCCGCGCUGCAUUAGCUAGUUGGUAAGGUAACGGCUUACCAAGGCAACGAUGCAUAGCCGACCUGAGAGGGUGAUCGGCCACACUGGAACUGAGACACGGUCCAGGCUCCUACGGGAGGCAGCAGUAGGGAAUCUUCCGCAAUGGGCGAAGGCCUGACGGAGCAACGCCGCGUGAGUGAUGAAGGUCUUCGGAUCGUAAAACUCUGUUAUUAGGGAAGAACAUAUGUGUAAGUAACUGUGCACAUCUUGACGGUACCUAAUCAGAAAGCCACGGCUAACUACGUG